UACAGAGACUGCAAGCGUUAUUCGGAUUCACUGGGCGUAAAGGGUGCGCAGGCGGCCGGGUGUGUCAGAUGUGAAAUCCCGAGGCUCAACCUCGGAACUGCGUCUGAAACUACUCGGCUAGAGUACUGGAGAGGGUAACGGAAUUCACGGUGUAGCAGUGAAAUGCGUAGAUAUCGUGAGGAACACCAGAGGCGAAGGCGGUUACCUGGACAGUUACUGACGCUCAGGCACGAAAGCAGGGGGAGCAAAAGGG
rnacentral:rRNA from 1 species